UACGAAGGGGGCUAGCGUCGCUCGGAAUCACUGGGCGUAAAGCGCACGUAGGCGGAUUGCUAAGUCAGGGGUGAAAUCCUGGAGCUCAACUCCAGAACUGCCUUUGAUACUGGCGAUCUUGAGUCCGGGAGAGGUGAGUGGAACUGCGAGUGUAGAGGUGAAAUUCGUAGAUAUUCGCAAGAACACCAGUGGCGAAGGCGGCUCACUGGCCCGGUACUGACGCUGAGGUGCGAAAGCGUGGGGAGCAAACAGG
rnacentral:rRNA from 1 species